UGAGGAAUAUUGGUCAAUGGGCGUAAGCCUGAACCAGCCAAGUCGCGUGAGGGAUGAAGGUUCUAUGGAUCGUAAACCUCUUUUAUGAGGGAAUAAAGUGCGGGACGUGUCCCGUUUUGUAUGUACCUUAUGAAUAAGGAUCGGCUAACUCCGUGCCAGCAGCCGCGGUAAUACGGAGGAUCCGAGCGUUCUCCGGAUUUAUUGGGUUUAAAGGGUGCGUAGGCGGCCUUUUAAGUCAGCGGUGAAAGUCUGUGGCUCAACCAUAGAAUUGCCGUUGAAACUGGGAGGCUUGAGUAUGUUUGAGGCAGGCGGAAUGCGUGGUGUAGCGGUGAAAUGCUUAGAUAUCACGCAGAACCCCGAUUGCGAAGGCAGCCUGCCAAGCCAUGACUGACGCUGAUGCACGAAAGCGUGGGGAUCAAACAGG
rnacentral:rRNA from 1 species